AAUUGUGAGGCGGGGUCUGGAUGGAAAGGCGGGGCCCGCUGAAAGAAGGCGACCCGAGUUCUACUUCCUAGUAAGGGACGUCUCUGGAGAGAUCCUGAGGUUUUUGAGCCUCUUUUGCCUACACACCGGCAGGUAAGCCAUCUCUGCCCCAGUGGGGUUCAGACCCCCCAGGACGGGCCCUUCUCUUACUCAUUCGCCCCCUCAUUUUCCCCAGUGUCCUUCCCGCACUCAGAGGGCCUCUCUGGAGCCAGUUCCAGGCCACCCAUGGGCCUUGGCCCCGCCCCCUACCCAUGGCUGGCAGAUUCGUGGCCCCACCCAUCUCGAAGCCCCUCGGCCCAGGAACCCAGGGGAAGCUGCUGCCCUAGCAAUCCUGACCCGGACGACAGAUAUUACAAUGGUGAGGAGUUCUCAUUCCCUCACCUGGCUUCAGCGCACUUCUCCCGACCUACUGGGGCAAACUGAAGGGCGCCCGGGAGCCCGGUCUCUCUGAGGUUGGUCAGUCCCUGGGGAGGAUGUGAGCUGGGGAAGCCUCUCU
rnacentral:sRNA from 1 species